rnacentral:misc_RNA from 1 species
GAUGAAGAACGUAGUAAAAUGCGAUAAGUAAUGUGAAUUGCAGAAUUCAGUGAAUCAUCGAAUCUUUGAACGCACAUUGCGCCCGCCAGUAUUCUGGCGGGCAUACCUGUUCGAGCGUCAUUUCAACCCUCAAGCUCAGCUUGGUGUUGGGACUCGCGGUAACCCGCGUUCCCCAAAUCGAUUGGCGGUCACGUCGAGCUUCCAUAGCGUAGUAAUCAUACACCUCGUUACUGGUAAUCGUCGCGGCCACGCCGUAAAACCCCAACUUCUGAAUGUUGACCUCGGAUCAGGUAGGAAUACCCGCUGAACUUAAGCAUAUCAAUAAGCGGAGGA